rnacentral:rRNA from 1 species
AUUGAACGCUGGCGGCAUGCCUUACACAUGCAAGUCGAACGGCAGCACGGGAGCAAUCCUGGUGGCGAGUGGCGAACGGGUGAGUAAUAUAUCGGAACGUGCCCAGUCGUGGGGAUAACGUAGCGAAAGCUACGCUAAUACCGCAUACGAUCUAUGGAUGGAAAGCGGGGGAUCGCAAGACCUCGCGCGAUUGGAGCGGCCGAUAUCAGAUUAGGUAGUUGGUGAGGUAAAGGCUCACCAAGCCGACGAUCUGUAGCUGGUCUGAGAGGACGACCAGCCACACUGGGACUGAGACACGGCCCAGACUCUACGGAGGCAGCAGUGGGAAUUUUGGACAAUGGGCGCAAGCCUGAUCCAGCAAUGCCGCGUGCAGGAUGAAGGCCUUACGGGUUUCGGUUAAACGUUUACGGUA